rnacentral:lncRNA from 1 species
CCUCCUACAUCACAGCCGCCAGAGCAAGGGAACACAGGGCCCUCCCUGGACACCCUCCCACCACGUUCUCGGGAGUAGCAGGGGUGUCCAUGGGGGGAGCCCCGGUGGGAAUCAGCACACCCACGUGUCCACUGGGGCUGGAGGCUGGGCCAGGAACAACCUCUAUUCCUCACUGGAAAGCAUCAGCAGCUAUAGAAGCCUCACGGCCAGAGCCAACAAAUACAGAUAUUGCCCCCACAUCUGGAACCCCUGAGCCAUGGGGCAUAAAGCCAAGGAGCACUGCCAAGUGAGUCCUUUCACAGACACAGUGGCGGUGUCACCACCUGGGAGGAAGGCUGACCUGGAAGCCAGGGUCUCCGCCAUCAUUCUCCCGGGGGAGGUUACUCUACCGAUCUAUCCCAGC